CUUUCAAUAUAUAUCUACAAAGAACACUCCACUGCAUUGUAGUUGCUUGCAUAUUUAGGGUUUUCCAACACUGCAUCUAACUAUUCAAACUUAGAGAGUAUUUUUCUACAAUGGGAAAUUGUCUCAAAAACUCGAUGACUACUCCUAUCGUCUAUGUUCCCCAUCAAGGGUAAAUGCAAUCCCUAACUUAGUCAUGAACCUCGCUCUCGAAUCGGUCAUUAAAGAAUGACAAGUAACUGAAAUUUGUAUCAAUACUGUCAAGCUCAUGCUUGAUUCACUCAAAGCGUGCUAUACUAUCUUUGACGAGAUUGUUGCGACCCGUGGUGUGCGUUGGAUGAUCCAUUCUAACAUGGUGAUAGCUGAUGAGGUUGCCUGGUCGAAAUUACUGAAGAAAAACCCCUUAGGGGGUGCUUACUACUACAGAAACGAGCCAACCACAAUACUACUUAGUCGCCACUAUUUUCGGACUAACUGGUGUUGACAUAGAUGACGAGACAAUGAUCGUCAUACCAUCAGACACCACCGAGUCAGUUGGUAAUUCACAUGGUCCGAUUGCUGCAUCUCCGACGGAUCUUGACAAGGUGAACUCACCAUGUGUUAGACGUGGUCCAAAUGUUAAGCGCAAACUGUUUAUCGACGAAUCAGGAACUGCUGAUAGACAUUCUUCCAAAGCUGCUCCACCCAUCAACCUUGGCACCACAUUUGAUUGUCCCUAGAAGCCCAAAACAGAUAAUCAACCACUACGCCGUAUGGAUCCAGCUCAAAUGAAUCUGCCUAAGUUCUCGUCAGGAAGGAGUUCGAGCGCAUCAUGCAGCCCGUUUCCAGAGAGCCACAAAACAGCCUCUUAGUACUGGUAAGUAGUUUAUACAUUAGUAUUUGUUUAUGCCCACUUGACUACGUUUUGCCUUUCUACCAUAUUAGUGGAUGAAUGGUUAUGCAAAAGAUGGUUAAAGUAGCUUUAUGUGUAUUAAAUGGGUGUUUACUUGACUCAUACAUGUGGUAUGCAAAAUAUAUGUGUUAAUUGCCUCGGUGCCUUAUAUGAUAGGCACACGAAUUCUAUGAAAUUAUGCCACGUAUAA